rnacentral:rRNA from 1 species
UACGGAGGGGGCUAGCGUUGUUCGGAAUUACUGGGCGUAAAGCGCACGUAAGCGGAUUUGUAAGUCAGGGGUGAAAUCCCGGGGCUCGACCUCGGAACUGCCUUUGAUACUGCAAAUCUCGAGUCCGGAAGAGGUGAGUGGAAUUCCUAGUGUAGAGGUGAAAUUCGUAGAUAUUAGGAAGAACACCAGUGGCGAAGGCGGCUCACUGGUCCGGUACUGACGCUGAGGUGCGAAAGCGUGGGGAGCAAACAGG